rnacentral:rRNA from 1 species
GAUGAACGCUAGCGGCAGGCUUAACACAUGCAAGUCGAGGGGCAGCAUGACACGGAGAUUCGUCGAAGUGUUGAUGGCGACCGGCGCAAGGGUGCGUAACGCGUGAGCAACUUGCCCGUUUCAGGGGGAUAACCGGUGGAAACGCCGACUAAUACCCCAUGGCAUCGUGAUGAGGCAUCUCAUUGCGAUUAAAGAGAUUCGGAAACGGAUGGGCUCGCGGCUGAUUAGCUAGUUGGUGAGGUAACGGCCUACCAAGGCGACGAUCAGUAGCCGGACUGAGAGGUUGAUCGGCCACAUUGGGACUGAGACACGGCCCAGACUCCUACGGGAGGCAGCAGUGGGGAAUAUUGCACAAUGGGGGAAACCCUGAUGCAGCGACGCCGCGUGAGGGAAGAAGGUAUUCGUAUUGUAAACCUCUGUCUUCGGGGACGAUAAUGACGGUACCCGAGGAGGAAGCACCGGCUAACUACGUG